rnacentral:rRNA from 1 species
UACGGGAGGCAGCAGGGGGAAUAUUGGACAAUGGGCGCAAGCCUGAUCCAGCCAUGCCGCGUGUGUGAAGAAGGCCUUCGGGUUGUAAAGCACUUUUGUCCGGAAAGAAAAGCUUAGGGUUAAUAACCUUGAGUCAUGACGGUACCGGAAGAAUAAGCACCGGCUAACUUCGUGCCAGCAGCCGCGGUAAUACGAAGGGUGCAAGCGUUACUCGGAAUUACUGGGCGUAAAGCGUGCGUAGGUGGUUUGUUAAGUCUGAUGCGAAAGCCCUGGGCUCAACCUGGGAAUGGCAUUGGAAACUGGCUUACUAGAGUGCGGUAGAGGGGUGUGGAAUUCCCGGUGUAGCAGUGAAAUGCGUAGAUAUCGGGAGGAACAUCUGUGGCGAAGGCGACACCCUGGACCAGCACUGACACUGAGGCACGAAAGCUGGGGAGCAAACG